GGGCUUGUAGCUCAGCUGGUUAGAGCACACGCCUGAUAAGCGUGAGGUCGGCGGUUCAAGUCCGCCUGAGCCCA
rnacentral:tRNA from 1 species